GAUGAACGCUGGCGGCGUGCCUAAUACAUGCAAGUCGAGCGAACAGACGAGGAGCUUGCUCCUCUGACGUUAGCGGCGGACGGGUGAGUAACACGUGGAUAACCUACCUAUAAGACUGGGAUAACUUCGGGAAACCGGAGCUAAUACCGGAUAAUAUAUUGAACCGCAUGGUUCAAUAGUGAAAGACGGUUUUGCUGUCACUUAUAGAUGGAUCCGCGCCGCAUUAGCUAGUUGGUAAGGUAACGGCUUACCAAGGCAACGAUGCGUAGCCGACCUGAGGGGGUGGUCGGCCACACUGGAGCUGGGACACGGUCCAGACUCCUGCGGGAGGCCGCAGUCGGGAACCUUCCGCAAUGGGCGAAAGCCUGACGGAGCAACGCCGCGUGAGUGAUGAAGGCCUUCGGAUCGUAAAACUCUGUUAUUAGUGAAGAACAAAUGUGUAAGUAACUAUGCACGUCUUGACGGUACCUAAUCAGAAAGCCACGGCUAACUACGUG
rnacentral:rRNA from 1 species